rnacentral:rRNA from 1 species
UCUGACGGAGCNCGCCGCGUGAGUGAUGAAGGUUUUCGGAUCGUAAAGCUCUGUUGUUAGGGAAGAACAAGUGCCGUUCAAAUAGGGCGGCACCUUGACGGUACCUAACCAGAAAGCCACGGCUAACUACGUGCCAGCAGCCGCGGUAAUACGUAGGUGGCAAGCGUUGUCCGGAAUUAUUGGGCGUAAAGGGCUCGCAGGCGGUUUCUUAAGUCUGAUGUGAAAGCCCCCGGCUCAACCGGGGAGGGUCAUUGGAAACUGGGGAACUUGAGUGCAGAAGAGGAGAGUGGAAUUCCACGUGUAGCGGUGAAAUGCGUAGAGAUGUGGAGGAACACCAGUGGCGAAGGCGACUCUCUGGUCUGUAACUGACGCUGAGGAGCGAAAGCGUGGGGAGCGAACAGGAUUAGAUACCCCCCGUAG